UGAAAAGGCGAAUGAAAAGCAUGUUGUAGGAUCAUCUCUUUUUUAUGAUUUUUAUGAUUUAUGCUACAGGGAAACGAAAAAAGAUAGAAAAACA
rnacentral:ribozyme from 12 species